rnacentral:lncRNA from 10 species
UCCCAGCUACUUGGGAGGCUGAGGCAGGAGAAUUGCCUCAAAAAACGAAAACGAAAACAAAACGAAAACAUCAAUAACUAACAAAUUUAUAUCCCAGAAACUAAAGGAGAGCUACACUAUGCCCAUGCAUUUAAGAGCACAGAGAGGAAAGCCUUAAGGGUACAGAUAUUACCCAGGCAUGAACAAUAGGGAAUCAGCUUUGCAGGAAGUUCUUUUUUAGAUGAAGAAGGAGGAAACAGGAGAAGGGAGGAGUCAGUGAGUCCAAAAGACAGAGCUAAGCAGAAGAACUCAGUAUAACACAUUGAUUCAUUCAACAGACAUUUAUAGAUGUCUAUUUUGCCUCAUGUUCUUUACAGGGUGGUGGGAAAAGUGAAUUAGACGUGUUUGUGCUCUUAAGUAGUUCACUGUUUAGUAAUGAGUGCUGAACAAUAUAAUUAUACCGUUGUUGUAAUGAAGAAUGUACAAUGUAAAACUGGACUGCAAAAGAAAAUAAAGAAAACAGUCCUGUUUAUAAUAGCAUUAAAAAGAAUAAAAUCUUAAGAAUAAAUUUAACCAAGGAGGUGAAAAAUCUACAUACACACACACACACAAAGAUCUAUACACUUGUAUACAUAUGUAACAAACCUGCAUGUUGUGCACAUGUACCCUAAAACUUAAAGUAUAAAAAAAAAAAGAUCUAUACACUGAAAACUAUGAGGUGCCAAUGAAAGAAACUGAAAAAGAACAAAUAGCUGGAAAUACAUCCCAUGUUUAUGGAUUGGAAGAAUUAAUAAUAUUAAAAUGUCCAUGUUACCCAAAGUGAUCUACACAUUCAAUUCAAUCCCUAUGAAAAUUCCAUGGCAUUUUUCAUAGAUGUAGAAAAAAGUCCUAAAAUUAGUACAGGACAACAAAAGACUACAAAUAGAAUAAAUAAUCUUGAUAAAGAACAAAACUGGAGGCAUCACCUUUGCUGAUUUCAAACUACAUUCAAAGUUACAGUAAUCAAAACAUUAUGUACCAUACUGUUUUGCAUGUACAACUUAAACAUAGACACACAGACCAAUAAAACAGGAUAGAGAACUCAGAAAUAAACCCAUGCAUGUAUGGUCAUGUGGUCAACUGAUCUUUUUUUCUUUUUUUUUAAUAGGGUCUUGCUGUGUCGCCCAGAUUGGAGUGCAGAGGCACAAUCUUGGCUCACUGCAGCCCUGACUUCCCGGGCUCAAGUGAUCUUCCCAUCUCAGCCUCCUGAGGAGCUGGGACUACAAGCACACACCACCACAUUCAGCUAAUUUUCUUGAUUUUUUUUUGUAGAGAUGAGGUCUCCGGAUGUUGCCCAGCCUGGUUUCAAACUCUUGUGCUCAAGUGAUCCUCCUGCCCCUGCCUCUCAAGGUGCUGGGGUUACAGGUGCGAGCCACCAUGCCCAACUGGUCAACUAAUCUUUGAUGAGGCACCAAGAAUACACAAUGAGGAACAAAAAUCCCUUCAAUAAAUAGUAUUGGGAAAACUGGAUAGACAUAUGCAAAAUGACAAAAAUGGACUUUUGUAUUACACCAUAUAAAAAUGAAUUUGGAAUGGAUUCAAGACUUAAAUGUAAGAUGUGAAACUGUAAAACUCUUAGAAGAAAACAUAGGGGAACAGCUCCUUGACAUUGGCCUUGGCAAUGAUUUUUCAGAUAUGACACGAAAAGCAUAGGCAAACAAAAUAAAAAUAAACAAGUUGUACCACAUCAAACUAAAAGGCUCUGUACAUCAAAGGAAACAACAAAAUGAAAAGGUAACUUACCGAAUGGGAGAAAAUAUUUGCAAACCAUAUCUGAUAAGGGGCUGAUAUCCAAAAUAUAUAAGGAACUCACACAACUCAAUAGCAAGAAAACACAAAAAAUCUGAUUUGAAAAUAGGUAAAGGAUCUGAAUAGAUAUUUUUCUAAAGAAGAAAUACAUGAAAAAGUGUUCAGCACCACUAAUCAUCAGAGAAAUGUAAAUCAAAACCAUAAUGAGAGAUCAUCCUACACUUGUUAGCAUGGCUGUUAUAAAAAAAGAUAAGGGAUGACAAGUGUUGGUGAGGAUGUGGAGAAAGGGGAACACUUGUACACUCUUGGUGGGAAUGUAAAUUGGUACAGCCACUAUGGGAAACAGUAGUAUGAAGGUUCUUCAAAAAAUUAAAAAUAGAACUACCCUAUGAUCCAGCAAUACCACUUCUGGGAAACAAAAUCAGGAUCCUGAAGAGAGAUAUCUGCAUUCCCAUGUUCACUGCAGCCUUAUUUACAAUAGCCAAGAUACAGAAACAAUCUAAGUGUCUGUCGACACAUAAAUAGAUAAAGAGAAUGUGGUAUAUUUAUAUACAAUGGAAUUGUAUUUAGCCAUAAAAAAGGAAAUCCUGCUAUUCAUGACAACGUGGAUAAACCAGAAGAACAUUAUGCUAAAUGAGUCAGUUAGACACAGAAAGAAAAUUACGUAUGAGCUCAUUUAUAUUUGAAAUGUAAAAACAUUGAACUCAUAGAAACAGAGUAGAACAGUCAUUGCCAGGGUCUGAGGUAUGAGGGAAAUAGAGAUGUUGAUCAAAGGGUCUAAACUUUCAGUUAUAAGAUGAACAAGUUCUGGAGAUCUAAUGUACAGCAUACGUGGUGAUGGAUGUGUUAACUAAAAAAAAAAAAAAAAGAAAUUGGAUCAUUGGAAUAGUGCUGAGUUUUGCUUGGGUAAUUCUGUCAACACUUUACAAAAAACGCAACCUUUCAGCUUUUGGCUAGUCUUGGAAAAUUUAUAGGUGUUUUCUAUCUGUGGAUUGGUUAGAAAUAUUCCAGAAAAUUGGAAUAUAAAAUGUGUGGGAAAUGAAUUAGAAAUAUGCUCACAUUCUUGACAAUCAUUAUAAGCAUUUAAGUUCUGGAAGAGGAAGGAGACCAUUUCUUUUGCUUGGUAUACUCAGUAGUGUAGCUUAACCCUAUCUCUACAUGUGGUACCAUGUUUAUUGUUUGUAAAGCUCAGCCAGAGAGUUGAAUAUGGCAUGGAUGUAGCUUACUCCUCCUUAUUUAAUGAACAUAUAUUGAGCACCUAUUUUGUAUCAGGCCUUAUGAUAGAGUUAUCAAGAAUGAGUCCCAAUCUCUGGCUUCAGCAGUUUGGCUGAAUGAAGGGAUCAGUUAAGUAGACAGGCAACUAGUUAGGUGUAUGCCCACAGGAUUAUAAAUAACAGUACACAAGAGAGGCCUGAGCCCAUUUGGACGGUGAUGUGGAGUUUGGGGCCUCAGAAAAGUGACUUCUGAGCAAAUAUUUGAAUGACAAGUAGGAGUGGACUUGAAAGAGGGCAAGCAUUAUAGUAGAGGGAACAUCAUACACCAAGUAGUAAUAUAGUCAGAGAAUAACAAGGAGUUUCUCAUGAAGGGUGGCUGCAAAUAGUGGUAGGAAAGGAGGCUGAGAAGUGGCCGGGACCAGGUCAUAGAUGACCUUUGUGUCAUUAAAUGUCUGGAUUUUUAUCCAGCGAAGGCGGUGGUUAGUCACUGGAAUACUGGCUAUGAAGAGUGUUUUUCAAAGAGUAGAUUAUAAUCCAUUAGUGGGUUGUAAAAUCAAUUUAGUGAAUUGGGGCCAGCAUAUAAAAGGUGAACAAGUAGAAAAUAUGAGGGUAGAUCAUAUUUGUAAAGGUAAAUAACAUUUUAUGAAGAUUUUGUUUCAAUCAUUUAUGUUUAUGGAUAAUCUGUUCUGAUGUAAAAUGUUUUUUGACCUGUAGGUCACAGUCACAAUUUUUGAGAAGCACUUGUUUAAAGGUUCAGUGUUACACAAAUUAUCAGAUUACUUUUAGUAGUAAUUAACAGAAAAUUCAGAUCCAAAUGGGAAUAAUCACUAAAAAAGAUUAUUAUUCCAACGUAACUAGGAUUCCAGUUUGGGAGCUCUUGGUGCUGUAGUUUUAGUUGUUUUUUUUUUUUUUUUUUUUUUUUUAUACUUUAAGUUUUAGGGUACAUGUGCACAUUGUGCAGGUUAGUUACAUGUGUAUACAUGUGCCGUGCUGGUGCGCUGCACCCACUAACUCGUCAUCUAGCAUUAGGUAUAUCUCCCAAUGC